GGAAGGAUCAUUAGGGGAGUGGGUGUGGAAGGCGACGACCGCACGACACAAGCACACCUUUUAACCGGCAACUUGCAAGCAAGUUGGGGCCAGAGCAGACACGGCACGAGUGCAGUGUGUGUUGUGGACCGGGCGAGAUGAAAGGGGCUGGCUGGAAGGGGGGCAAUAGGCGCGACAAAGAGUGAUUGUGAAAGAAGGAGAAAGGGGGAGGAAUUGAAGAAGAAGGAAGGAUGGAUGGUGGGUGGAUGGGUGGAUGGACUUGAUCGUUCGUUCGUUCGAGUAAAUUGAUUUAAAAUGAAUUGAAGAGAGGAUUUAUUUGAAAGAGUGGAUUCAUCUCAUCGAGUAAAUUGAUUUGGCGAGUAAAUUGAUUUAAAAUGAAUUGAAGAGAGGGUUUAUUUGAAAGAGUAAAUUGAUCGAGUAAAUUCAUUGGAGCGAAUAAAUUGAUUUAAAAUGAAUUGAAGAGAGGAUUUAUUUGAAAGAGUAAAUUGAUCGAGUAAAUUCAUUGGAGCGAAUAAAUUGAUUUGAUUUGAUUUGAUUUGGUUCAGAUUAAUCAAAUUCAGUUUAGUUCAAUUCAAUUCAUUUCAAUCUGGUUCAAUUCAGUUCAUUUCAAUCUGAUCUGGUUCAGAUUAAUCAAAUUCAAUUCAAUUCAAUUCAAUUCAAUUCAAUUCGAUUCAUUUCAGUUCAAUUCAAUUCCGAUCCAGUUUCGAAAAUCAACACUAGUACAUACACAUAAAUACAUACAUACCUUCAACAAGGGAUCUCUGGGCUCCUGCAACGAUGAAGAACGCAGUGAGGUGCGAAAAGCAAUGCGAUUUGCAAGCUCUGCGAGUCAUUGGAUAUUUGAACGCAAAUGGCACUGCCGGAUCAAAGGGCAGUAUGUGUGUCUGAGGGCGGGAAAGACAGUCGCCGCAUGGGGGGCGGACGUGUGCCGGGACGCGGGAGCGGACGGGGACAAAAGGGGGCGCGAGCGCGGGGGACGGGAGAGACAGACAGAGUGGCAGGAGGUGGAGCAGGGGGAGCAGGAGCAUGCAAAUGCGAGUGCGAGUACAAACACGUGCAAAUGCGAGUACAAACACGUGCAAAUGCGAGUACAAACACGUGCAAAUGCGAGUGCAAGUGCAAACACGUGCAACACUGGAGGCGACGACUGGACUCUGGUUUUCUGGCGGGAGCGAGAGAGAGAGAGGAGGGAGAAAUGCAAAUGCAAAUGCAUCCAUCAUCAUCAAUCAAUCAAUGAAUCAGAGUAACGCCUCAGAUCAGACAGGAAUACCCGCCAAACUUAAGCAUAUCAGUAAGCGGAGGAAAAGAAACUAACAAGGAUUCCUGCAGUAACGGCGAGUGAAGAGGGAAGAGCUCAAAAUUGGAAUCAGGGGCCGAAAGGCGCCCGAAUUGUAGUCUAAGAGGCAAGCCCGGGAGCGGCGGACGCAGACGCACAAGGUCCUGGAAGGGACGGUCAGAGAGGGUGAGAAUCCCGUGGGGCGGAGGCGGACGCGGCAGGGGCGGCAGGAAGAGUCGGGUUGCUUGGGAAUGCAGCCCAAAGGGGUGGUAAAUCACAUCCAAGGCUAAAUAGAGGCAGGAGACCGAUAGCGAAAAAGUACCGUGAGGGAAAGAUGAAAAGCACCUUGAAAAGGGAGUGAAAGAGCGCGUGAAAUUGUUGAAGGGGAAACGAUUGGCGUGGGGAGGGGCGCGGGGGGAGCAGUGGGACGAGCGUGGUGGGAGAGAGCAGCGUUGUGGCAUGUAGUGAUGAUACGUUACAUGGCACGGGAGUGCUUUGCCGACGACGCUUGGGCCUGCGGCGAGCCGGAGCCGGUGGGGCGGGCGCAGCGGGGGCGGAGAAGACGCGGGAGGCGCGGCCGACAGACGUGGGCGGAGCGGACCGGCGGAGAAGGCCCGGGAGCGCUUGGAGCGGCAGACGGCGGAGCACGGGCGGACGGGAGAACGCGGGAGCACAUGUGGCACUUGCAGUGGGAGCGGACGCGGGGGCGUGACGCAGGGUCGGCCGCCAGCCCCACACACACGCCAAACGACCCGUCUUGAAACACGGACCAAGGAGUCCAACAUGCAUGCGAGUGUUGGGUGGCAAGCCCGGACGCGGAAUGAAAGUGAGGAGUGGGAGGGGAGAAGGAGAGAGAGAAAUUGAUUGAUCACUUCCCGCACCACUCGCCGGCGCCAAAGGAGGAGGGCCGAGCGGGAGCGUGAAUGUUGGGACCCGAAAGAUGGUGAACUAUGCCUGGAGGGGAUGAAGCCAGAGGAAACUCUGGUGGAGGUCCGCGGCCGUUCUGACGUGCAAAUCGAUGGUGGAAUCUGGGCAUAGGGGCGAAAGACUAAUCGAACCAUCUGGUAGCUGGUUCCCUC
rnacentral:misc_RNA from 1 species